ACACAGAGAGAGAGAGAGAGGCAGAGAGAGAGAGAGAGAGAGGAAGCUGUCAAGGAGAGAGAAAGAGCUCUCAAGCGACAGAAGGUGAAAAUCAUGAAUCCUGAUGAGGACGACCUCAAUUGCCGCUACUGUCUCACAACUUCGCACCUGAGGUGCAAGGCUUGAAGGCAGCGGACAACAGCAACACCUGCAUCAUCUGUGCUUCUAACAGGAAUUCCAAGAUGUUCAGCAGCUACAAUGCAUUGGAAAGCCACAUGGAUAGGGUCCAUCAUGGCUGGAAAUCUGCAUACCCGACUUGUCAAAAGAAGAAUUGCAAGAGGGAGUUUUUGAACAAGGAAGAGUAUGAGUCCCACAAAAUUUCACUUUUUCCCACAAGUGGGCUUGUGAGACUCAUAUUCUUCUUUGUUCAAAAAUACCCUCUUGCAAUUAUGCUUUUGACAAGUGGGGUAUGCAGAUUUCCAGCCAUGAUGGACCCUAUCCAUAUGGCUUUCCAAUGCACUGUAGUUGUUGAAAAUCUUCGAGUUCCUC